AUUGAACGCUGGCGGCAGGCCUAACACAUGCAAGUCGAGCGGAUGAAGGGAGCUUGCUCCUGGAUUCAGCGGCGGACGGGUGAGUAAUGCCUAGGAAUCUGCCUGGUAGUGGGGGAUAACGUCCGGAAACGGGCGCUAAUACCGCAUACGUCCUGAGGGAGAAAGUGGGGGAUCUUCGGACCUCACGCUAUCAGAUGAGCCUAGGUCGGAUUAGCUAGUUGGUGGGGUAAAGGCCUACCAAGGCGACGAUCCGUAACUGGUCUGAGAGGAUGAUCAGUCACACUGGAACUGAGACACGGUCCAUACUCCUACGGUAGGCAGCAGUGGGGAAUAUUGGACAAUGGGCGAAAGCCUGAUCCAGCCAUGCCGCGUGUGUGAAGAAGGUCUUCGGAUUGUAAAGCACUUUAAGUUGGGAGGAAGGGCAGUAAGUUAAUACCUUGCUGUUUUGACGUUACCAACAGAAUAAGCACCGGCUAACUUCGUG
rnacentral:rRNA from 1 species